rnacentral:ncRNA from 1 species
AAAGGUUUGGUCCUAGCCUUAUAAUUAGUUGAAGGUAAGAUUACACAUGCAAACAUCCAUAAACCGGUGUAAAAUCCCUUAAAGAACUAACAAAAAUUUAAGGAGAGGGUAUCAAGCACAUUUAUAAUAGCUAAAAACACCUUGCCUAGCCACACCCCCACGGGACCCAGCAGUGAUAAAUAUUAAGCAAUGAACGAAAGUUUGACUAAGCUAUACCUCUUAGGGUUGGUAAAUUUCGUGCCAGCCACCGCGGUCAUACGAUUAACCCUAACUAAUUAUUUCUCGGCGUAAAACGUGUUUACUGGACCUUCAACAAAUAGAAUUAAAACUCAACUAAUAUGUGAAAAUUCAUCGUUAGAACUUAAACACAAUAACGAAAGUAAUUCUAAGAAUCCCCAUAAAACACGAUAGCUAAGACCCAAACUGGGAUUAGAUACCCCACUAUGCUUAGCCCUAAACUAUAAUAAUUAAAUACCAACAAAAUUAUUUGCCAGAGAACUACUAGCCACAGCUUAAAACUCAAAGGACUUGGCGGUACUUUACAUCCGUCUAGAGGAGCCUGUUCUAUAAUCGAUAAACCCCGAUCCACCUCACCAUCCCUUGCUAAUUCAGCCUAUAUACCGCCAUCUUCAGCAAACCCUCAAAAAAGGAAAAAAAGUAAGCAAGAGAAUAACCAUAAAAACGUUAGGUCAAGGUGUAGCUAAUGAGAUGGGAAGCAAUGGGCUACAUUUUCUACAUAAGAACAUUACGAUACCCUUUAUGAAACUAAAGGACAAAGGAGGAUUUAGUAGUAAAUUAAGAAUAGAGAGCUUAAUUGAAUAGAGCAAUGAAGUACGCACACACCGCCCGUCACCCUCCUCAAGUUAAAUAUACUUAAUCAUACAUAAUAUCUAGUAAUAAAUUUAUUAGAGGAGAUAAGUCGUAACAAGGUAAGCAUACUGGAAAGUGUGCUUGGAACAAU